AGUGAACGCUGGCGGUAGGCCUAACACAUGCAAGUCGAACGGCAGCACAGUAAGAGCUUGCUCUUACGGGUGGCGAUUGGCGGACUGGUGAGGAAUACAUCGGAAUCUACUUUUUCGUGGGGGAUAACUUAGGGCAACUUACGCUAAUACCGCAUACGACCUACGGGUGAAAGCAGGGGAUCUUCGGACCUUGCGCGAUUGAAUGAGCCGAUGUCUGAUUAGCUAGUUGGCGGGGUAAAGGCCCACCAAGGCGACGCUCCGUAGCAGUUCUGAGAGGAUGAACAGCCAAACUAGAACUGGGAGAACGUCAAAGGUCUUAGAGAGGGAAGCAGGGGGGAAUAAUAGGCAAAGGGGGCAAGCCUGAUCAAGAAAAAAAGCGGGGGUAAAGCAAGACCUCGGGUUGUAAAGCCCUUUUGUUGGGAAAGAAAAGCAGCAGGUUAAUAACCCGCUGUUCUGACGGUACACAAAGAAUAAGCACCGGCUAACUUCGUG
rnacentral:rRNA from 1 species